UUCCCUGCCCAAGCUUGACAGACAGAGCAAGGGGAGGGGCAUCGGUCUCUAAACUCAUCUCACAGUGAGCAGGAGCACACUGUCCUGGGAGAGCUGGAGGGCCAUGCUGGCUGUUGUACUUGCUCUUUUAUCUGGUGUUGGGGUCGCACUCUACAUUGAACAGUGGCCAGGCAAAAUCCUUCAAAGAGCUGGAGACUCUUUGAACAUCUCCUGCUACCAGAAUUACAGCAACCUUGCCUAUAUGUUCUGGUAUCAGCAGCCUCCGAAAAAAGGUUUGAAGUUAAUAGUUAGUAGUACUUCAUGGAGGCAUAACUCUUACGAGCAUGGUUACAGUGAGGCCAAGUUUGAAGUAACCAGAGAGAGCAGUUUUUACGCUCUGAUGACAAUCAAGAACUUGACAUCCAAGGACGAAGCUACGUAUUUUUGUGCUGCGAGUGAACGAUAA